rnacentral:rRNA from 1 species
GUAGUCAUAUGCUUGUCUCAAAGAUUAAGCCAUGCAUGUCUAAGUAUAAGCAAUUAUACCGCGAAACUGCGAAUGGCUCAUUAUAUAAGUUAUCGUUUAUUUGAUAGUACCUUACUACUUGGAUAACCGUGGUAAUUCUAGAGCUAAUACAUGCUAAAAAUCCCGACUUCGGAAGGGAUGUAUUUAUUAGAUUAAAAGCCAAUGCCCUCUGGGCUCUCUGGUGAUUCAUGAUAACUUCUCGAAUCGCAUGGCCUUGCGCCGGCGAUGGUUCAUUCAAAUUUCUUCCCUAUCAACUUUCGAUGUUUGGGUAUUGGCCAAACAUGGUUGCAACGGGUAACGGAGGGUUAGGGCUCGACCCCGGAGAAGGAGCCUGAGAAACGGCUACUACAUCCAAGGAAGGCAGCAGGCGCGCAAAUUACCCAAUCCCGACACGGGGAGGUAGUGACAAUAAAUACUGAUACAGGGCUCUUUUGGGUCUUGUAAUUGGAAUGAGUACAAUUUAAAUCCCUUAACGAGGAACAAUUGGAGGGCAAGUCUGGUGCGAGCAGCC